AACCCUUGCCAUUAGUUGCUACGAAAGGGCACUCUAAUGGGACUGCCGGUGACAAACCGGAGGAAGGUGGGGAUGACGUCAAGUCCUCAUGGCCCUUAUAGGUGGGGCUACACACGUCAUACAAUGGCCGGUACAGAGGGUAGCCAACCCGCGAGGGGGAGCCAAUCCCACAAAGCCGGUCGUAGUCCGGAUCGCAGUCUGCAACUCGACUGCGUGAAGUCGGAAUCGCUAGUAAUCGCGGAUCAGCAUGUCGCGGUGAAUACGUUCCCGGGUCUU
rnacentral:rRNA from 1 species